rnacentral:rRNA from 1 species
CGCGGCCUAUCAGCUUGUUGGUGCGGUGAUGGCGCACCAAGGCGACGACGGGUAGCCGGCCUGAGAGGGUGACCGGCCACACUGGGACUGAGAUACGGCCCAGACUCCUGCGGGAGGCAGCAGUGGGGAAUAUUGCACAAUGGGCGAAAGCCUGAUGCAGCGACGCCGCGUGGGGGAUGACGGCCUUCGGGUUGUAAACCCCUUUCGACUCUGACGAAGCGUAAGUGACGGUAGGAGUAGAAGAAGCACCGGCUAACUACGUGCCAGCAGCCGCGGUAAUACGUAGGGUGCGAGCGUUGUCCGGAAUUAUUGGGCGUAAAGAGCUUGUAGGCGGUUUGUCGCGUCUGCCGUGAAAACCAGGGGCUUAACUCCUGGCGUGCGGUGGGUACGGGCAGGCUAGAGUGUGGUAGGGGAGACUGGAAUUCCUGGUGUAGCGGUGAAAUGCGCAGAUAUCAGGAAGAACACCGAUGGCGAAGGCAGGUCUCUGGGCCAUUACUGACGCUGAGAAGCGAAAGCAUGGGGAGCGAACAGGAUUAGAUACCCUGGUAGUCCAUGCCGUAAACGUUGGGCGCUAGGUGUGGGGCUCAUUCCACGAAUUCUGCGCCGCAGCUAACGCAUUAAGCGCCCCGCCUGGGGA